CUUAGACCCCAUUUAAGGGCUGACUGCCACUAGAGAAGGGUUUCUUUCUGGAGGUCACUCCUUGGUGAAGUUUCCCCUUUGAACCUGGAAUCUUAUGAUAUGGGUGAGGUUCAAAUCACAGGACAAGAAGAGCAUGCUCCAAAAAUAAAAGCAGACUUUGGCUUAUGCUGUCCAGUGAAUUGCCAUAUGAAUGCAGGAGGAUUUCGGGCUCUGUGUACUUUGGAAGCACUGCAAGAGAGAGAGGAGAAAUUCUGGAUGGAGGCCCAAUGUAUGGCAACAGAGCAGGAGAUGGAAGUGAUAAGAGGAAUACAUGCGGUGGGUCCCUACUGGGAGAAGAAGUUGUAGCUGAUUUUGUGCAUGUAAAAGAGUGCAGGCUUAAGUGGCUCUGGCUUUCCAGAGGGCACCUGCCUGCAGUGUCGGCAGUUCUUCCUGCACUUGAACCUGAACACAAGGCUUUACAUUGGAAUGGCUGUGAGAUUUCUCCUUCCUUCCUGCUAAUCUGUGUCUGCUAUUUCUGUGGAAAUGAAAGUACCUGAAACAAACCAAACGUUGGCCCCUACCCUGACAAAAUCAAAUUACUGUAAUGAAAUAGAAUUUUACAUCAUGAAUCACUAGCACCUAUCAGACCAUAACAUUGCAGCAGGCUGCUAAUGAGGCACUGCUGUUCAUCACCUGGUGUAAGUAUGCAGCUUCUUCAGUUAGAGAUUACUUCUAGAGAUGCCACUGUGAUCUCAGAAGCCCUUCAAGGAGCACCACCAUACAUAGGGGUCAAUUCACAAACAGGCAAAACAAAGCUGGGCUGUUUGCAUGCUGCAGUAACAUGUCCACAGUGCUCCUCUGUGUUCACAGAGAGUACAACAUGGGGCACAACUGGAAGCUGUGUUUAUGAGAG
ensembl:lncRNA